AGGUUUGACAUCCGGAAGACCUUCCGAAAGGAAGGGUGCCCUUCGGGGAAUUCCGAGACAGGUGCUGCAUGGCUGUCGUCAGCUCGUGCCGUGAGGUGUUGGGUAAGUCCCGCAACGAGCGCAACCCUAUUGCCAGUUGCUACCAGGUAAUGCUGGGCACUCUGGUGAGACUGCCCCGGUUAACGGGGAGGAAGGUGGGGACGACGUCAAGUCAUCAUGGCCCUUACGCCUAGGGCUACACACGUACUACAAUGGCGCAUACAAAGGGCAGCGAUACCGCGAGGUGGAGCCAAUCCCAAAAAGUGCGUCCCAGUCCGGAUUGCAGUCUGCAACUCGACUGCAUGAAGUUGGAAUCGCUAGUAAUUCGAGAUCAGCAUGCUCGGGUGAAUGCGUUCCCGGGCCUU
rnacentral:rRNA from 1 species